AUUGAACGCUGGCGGCAUGCCUUACACAUGCAAGUCGAACGGUAACAGGUCUUCGGAUGCUGACGAGUGGCGAACGGGUGAGUAAUACAUCGGAACGUGCCUAGUAGUGGGGGAUAACUACUCGAAAGAGUGGCUAAUACCGCAUGAGAUCUACGGAUGAAAGCAGGGGAUCGCAAGACCUUGUGCUACUAGAGCGGCCGAUGGCAGAUUAGGUAGUUGGUGGGAUAAAAGCUUACCAAGCCGACGAUCUGUAGCUGGUCUGAGAGGACGAUCAGCCACACUGGGACUGAGACACGGCCCAGACUCCUACGGGAGGCAGCAGUGGGGAAUUUUGGACAAUGGGCGCAAGCCUGAUCCAACAAUGCCGCGUGCAGGAUGAAGGCCUUCGGGUUGUAAACUGCUUUUGUACGGAACGAAAAGCCCCGGGUUAAUACCCUGGGGUCAUGACGGUACCGUAAGAAUAAGCAUCGGCUAACUACGUGCCAGCCGCCGCGGUAA
rnacentral:rRNA from 1 species